UUUAUUCUUUAACGGAGGCAGCAGUGGGGAAUAUUGCACAAUGGGCGCAAGCCUGAUGCAGGGACGCGGCGUGAGGGAUGACGCCUUUCGGGUUGUAAACUUCUUUCAUUAGGGAGGAAGCCCCUUUUGGGGGUGACGGUACUUGCAGAAGAAGCGCCGGCUAACUACGUGCCAGCAGCCGCGGUAAUACGUAGGGCGCAAGCGUUAUCCGGAAUUAUUGGGCGUAAAGAGCUCGUAGGCGGUUUGUCGCGUCUGCUGUGAAAGACCGGGGCUCAACUCCGGUUCUGCAGUGGGUACGGGCAGACUAGAGUGCAGUAGGGGAGACUGGAAUUCCUGGUGUAGCGGUGAAAUGCGCAGAUAUCAGGAGGAACACCGAUGGCGAAGGCAGGUCUCUGGGCUGUAACUGACGCUGAGGAGCGAAAGCAUGGGGAGCGAACAGGAUUAGAUACCCUGGUAGUCCAUGCCGUAAACGUUGGGCACUAGGUGUGGGGGACAUUCCACGUUUUCCGCGCCGUAGCUAACGCAUUAAGUGCCCCGCCUGGGGAGUACGGCCGCAAGGCUAAAACUCAAAGGAAUUGACGGGGGCCCGCACAAGCGGCGGAGCAUGCGGAUUAAUUCGAUGCAACGCGAAGAACCUUACCAAGGCUUGACAUGGACCGGAAAGACCCUGAAACAGG
rnacentral:rRNA from 1 species